UACGUAGGGAGCAAGCGUUGUCCGGAAUCAUUGGGCGUAAAGCGCGCGUAGGCGGCCCUGUAAGUCCGUUGUGAAAAUCAAAGGCUCAACCUUUGAAAGCCGAUGGAUACUGCAGGGCUAGAGUCCGGAAGAGGCGAGUGGAAUUCCUGGUGUAGCGGUGAAAUGCGCAGAUAUCAGGAGGAACACCGAUGGCGAAGGCAGGUCUCUGGGCAUUAACUGACGCUGAGGAGCGAAAGCAUGGGGAGCGAACAGG
rnacentral:rRNA from 1 species